rnacentral:lncRNA from 1 species
AAAAUCUUUGCCGUAGACGGUGCUGUUCCGUGAAAGAAGGCGACAAGGUGAUCCUUCCAUAAAGUUGAAGACUUCAGAACAAUUGAAUCGGGAGCUUGAACAGAAGGAAUGCCAUCCUCAUCCAUAGCUGGCGAGGCGACCUUUGAAAGAAGCUGAUAAGGAGAUUUAACUUUAGCUACCCAUGACUGAGACUUAGUCGGCACAUGAACAGGAGAUGUCUCUUUUACUGUCGGAGGUGCUGAAGGUCCCGGUUGUGAUGAAGUAGGCUGAAAGUAAACUUGAGGAGAGACCAGUUCAGGUAAGAAAGCCGUAGAUCUGCUUUGAGAGAUCAAAUCAGACUUCAAAGAUCCGAACAGAAAAAGUAGAUCUGGCAGAACUGAAGGCGGAGGGAGGUCAGGGUUUGGAAACAGAGAACUAGCCAUGACGCAGGGGUGAGUUUAUGACGGAGAGUGUGAGGCGGCUCCGCCAGGAGAGCUCGACGACGAAACCCUAGUAACGCGAGAGUCGCAUCGAGAGUCGCCGGAGAGAAAAAAAAUUUCUUCUUUGAUCAUCAACAAAUUUGUUGUUGUUGUUUUGUUUUAAUGAAGCUUGUAUAUAAAUUUGUUUUUGUUGUUGAAAAUUAGAUCAUCAACAAAUUUAUAUACAAGCUUCAUUACAACAAAACAAAAACCUUCACCGUUCUUCUACUAUCUUUAGUUGCUCAAAGAAACAACUGAUCUAUUACCUCUCCUAAAUUUUCAAUUUUAACGGGUUUACUCAUAUCUUCUUCUUUUUUCUGCACCCAUGUGAAACUUCUUUUUUUCAUCAUCUACAAGUUUUUCUAAAUCAUGUAUAUUUUUUAUCGAUAUACUGGCGUCUUUGAACCUCUUUCAAAGCCUCCAGUUUAAAAUCAUCGUGUUGGAAGAGAUUGAUAUUGGUAAGGUGAUAUGGAGAGAUCCGUCUAACCUAAGUAUUUUGUUGCAUGGCUUCCAGAAUUUGCAGUAUGGUUCAUAACAAAUUCGGAAAGCAUAGAUAUUUAUAUUUUUUUUUCAGUUUUUAAAUUAUUUCUGUUUGCCGCAGAUAUGCUUUAGAAAUCAAAGCUGAUUGAAAAUUAGUGAGAUCUAUUCUAGAGUAAAUUUGGCGAAGGUUGAAGACGAAUGAGUUAGAUAAAUGAUAUGCAAACCGUGUGAUCAGUCAGAAUUUCAGGUAAAGAGAUAAUUUCGUUUUACUUUUUUACAGUAGUUUUUACGCACCACAAAAUUAAGGCCUUAACUCUUUAAUGCUUACAUUAUUGCUUCACCAUUUAGUUUCAAAAUUUCCAAUAAUUUUUGUAAUUAAUUUUUAUAUUUCUUAAAUUUUCUAUUCUUAUUUUCCAGUAAUUUUAACAAAAAGCUAAAAACAGAAAGAAUUGAUUUUUUAAAAUAAAAAAUAUAAUUGUCCCGAAAGCCUAAUCAUUCAAAAAGUUUUUAAUAGAAUAGCAAGGUAAAUUUGUAAAAUUUAAUUUAAAAAAAACUAUCAAAAUAACCAAUAUGGGUUGUUUUUUUAUGUACAAUAAAUCGACAAAAUCAUAAAACUGUAAAAUAAUAGAUUAACAACACAGUGUAAACUACUAGAUAUACUUUAUAAUUUUUCUAAAUUCAUAUUAAAUAAAGUAUUUGUUACUGUACGCAUGGACCAUCGAAAACUAAAAAUACUAGAUCAAAUAUAGUAUUUUAGCUAUAUUUUAUAUUUUGAUAUAUAUAUAUAUAUAUAUAUAUAUUAAUUGUUUUUGGAAAAAUAUUGCACACAUGUAUUUUUAAAAUAAGAUAAGAAUUAUUGUAUUAUCCUUUUUUACCCAUUUUGUUUGGAUGCAUUCACCUCUAAUAUUAGGUGCCAUUGUUAUCCAGGUUCACAAAAUAUUUAACAAAAAUAAUAAUUAUUCUGAUUGAAAAUUAAUUUUUUGGUCAAAUAAUAUUUUUAACAAAAAAACACAAAAGAAUUUUUAAACAACAAAUCGACCCGUGCUAUAUGCACGGGCAGUAAUACUAGUUUGUAUUAUAAACCCAAAAACUGGCAACUCAAUGAACUGGCCAUGGGUGGGUUCGUAUCGUAUGUAUACCAAAACUUUAUUAACAAAAUAAUUAAGUUUUUUUUUCUUUUAAAUUAGAAAUAAAGAUUGUAAAAAUUGAUAAAGCAAUACUGCAAUGAAUAUUCUUUUGUCGUGCUUUAGUGGCCAGCAACGGAGUAGGAAAUUACACUAUCAAGAAUUUUUUCUAUCGAGAAUGAACAGACCCGGAUCAUCACGAAUAUCUUGAAAAGGAUACCCUGCCCGACGACCGUAAUGAAUGCAGAAAAAUGAAAAAGCAAGCGGCCAUGUACUAUCACUACCGAGGAACACUGUUCAGUAGAUCAUUUUCUAGCCGUUACUUAUGAUGCAUCAUGUUAGGGUAAUUUUAUGUGGGAUCUUUGUAAGUACUACGUAAUCAUAAAUAAACAAGUGAUGAGAAAUAAACGAGACUGAAAGAGAGAUUUUAUUGAUUGUAUGAGCAGAAACUGCAACAUUUGGUGUAUACACCCUAGUUUAAUCGCUUAACUCUAUUUUCUUAGUCUCUAAAUGUCGAUCACUUGUUUUAGGAUCUGGACCCCCUUUAUAAUUUAGCCGUAGUCGGUUAUUAGGCUAGAGUUUUCCAUAUUCAUAAAUAUGGAAGAAUCUUACUUAGUAGAAAUCUUCCAUUUAUACCCGGAAGCAUGAAUGGAGCCGGAACUUGAGCCGUGAUUUCUCCAGGCAGGAAUCGGAAGGCCACCGUCCUAUUCGGAGGCUGGAGUAAUCUUGUAAUGACCCUAAUCCGGUAUUUGCUUUCUUAACCGGUUUGGUUUCAAUAAUAAUUUUUAAUAAACCAAGCCAAAUUAGUUUCCUUCUCCACUGCGUUUUGGUAUAUGUAUAUAUACGCCAAAUUCGGAAAGCAUAGAUAUUUAUAUUUUUUUUUCAGUUUUUAAAUUAUUUCUGUUUGCCGCAGAUAUGCUUUAGAAAUCAAAGCUGAUUGAAAAUUAGUGAGAUCUAUUCUAGAGUAAAUUUGGCGAAG